GUCUACAGCCACACCACCCUGAACAUGCCCAAUCUAGUCUGAUUUCAGAAGUUAAGCAGGGUCAGGUCUGGUUAGUACUUAGAUGGGAGGAACCAUUCUGGUUCAGUAUGACU
ensembl:rRNA 5S_rRNA 5S ribosomal RNA